rnacentral:rRNA from 1 species
AGGAUUAACGCUGGCGGCGUGCCUAACACAUGCAAGUCGAACGAGGUAGCAAUACCUAGUGGCAGACGGGUGAGUAACGCGUGGUCAACCUACCGUUGAGUGGGGGAUAACUAGCCGAAAGGUUAGCUAAUACCGCAUACGUCUCCGAGGGGCAUCCCUUGGCGAUAAAAGGAGCAAUCCGCUCGAUGACGGGACCGCGUCCCAUUAGCUAGAUGGUGGGGUAACGGCCUACCAUGGCACCGAUGGGUAGCUGGUUUGAGAGAGCGACCAGCCACACUGGGACUGAGAAACGGCCCAGACUCCUACGGGAGGCAGCAGUGAGGAAUUUUCCGCAAUGGGCGCAAGCCUGGACGGAGCGACGCCGCGUGUGGGAAGAAGGCCUUCGGGUCGUAACCACUGUCGAAGGGGACGAUAAUGACGGUACCCUUGGAGGAAGCUCCGGCUAACUACGUGCCAGCAGCCGC